GUAGGGAAUAUUGCGCAAUGGGGGAAACCCUGACGCAGCGACGCCGCGUGAGUGAUGAAGGCCUUCGGGUCGUAAAGCUCUGUUGCAGGGGAAUAAAAAAAUGAAGGUACCCUGUGAGGAAGGAUCGGCUAACUUCGUGCCAGCAGCCGCGGUAAGACGAGGGAUCCUAGCGUUGCUCGGAAUCAUUGGGCGUAAAGAGGGCGUAGGUGGCUUGGUAAGUCAGGUGUGAAAGCCCAGGGCUCAACCCUGGAAGUGCAGUUGAUACUGCUGAGCUUGAGUGUCGGAGAGGUUACCGGAAUACCUGGUGUAGUGGUGAAAUACGUAGAUAUCAGGUGGAACACCGGAGGCGAAGGCGGGUAACUGGACGAACACUGACACUGAGGCCCGAAAGCGUGGGGAUCAAACAGGAUUAGAAACCCUUGUAGUCC
rnacentral:rRNA from 1 species